CUAUAUUUUGUCUUUUUCUAUUAAGACGCACGUGUGUCGUAACGUUAUCGAGUGACAAAUUUCGUAAGGUCUAAAUAUAGGAUAUAAUUACGUUAUAUGAUAAAAAUCUAAAUUUACCACGUUAGAGAAUACAUCAAAUUUUUUCAAUUUAUGUGAAGAUUCCUAUUACGAUUUACUGAUAUACGCCAUCGUAUCCAUCGGUCCACAAAAAAUAGGUGAUAUUUUCAUGAAUAUAGCGCGCAUGCGUAGAAUGCACGCGUAUGUUAAACACAAUGCGUAUUCGUCUAUGUCCGCACGCGCGCGGAUACAGUCGUAUUUAUGAAGCACACACAGAAAUCACAUGUGUGUAAAUAUUUUUCGAACUUUGUGAAUCCUUAAACGAAAAACUCUAUCAUUGAGAGAAAAUCAAUAAAACACAAUCUCUGAAACAUAAACGUCAACAACAUCGCGAAGUGCACGUAACGUUACAUUUCCAAAUGUAAUCAUACGGUCAAAGUACAUUUAACCAUCACUCACCAUAGAAAUAUCUAUGUAUUUUACACAAUAAUAACACGGUACAUAUUCAAAUCAUGACAGGUUAAGUGCCAUGCUUACAAGUGACCGCCAUUGCCAAAAUGAAUUGAAGUAUUCGAGUGAAAGAAACAGUCAUAUUCGUAACAUUUGUAAUACUUUUAAUGUUAUAAUACCAAUAUAAAGUAUUAAAUGCAUCAUAAAACAUUUAAACAAUCUUAUUCUUUUAUACAAUUACAUCCAAUGCUAUGUACAGUAACAAUAUACACAAAACGUAACAAAGUGUAAUAUAACAAUGUAAUAUAAAAUUUUAGUCAACAUGUUAGUAACUAACAAUGUUCAGAAUUUAUUUAAAUAUUAAUGAUACAGUAAUGACAUAUACGCAAUUGUUAUGAAUACGAGCCGCGAAGAACGACAGGCGUUCGAACGACACGCACACGUAUGUAGAUUAUAAAAAAAUAUGUGCUUACCUUUGAACGUAUUGCGGACGAGAGUCAUGCUCAUAUUCGCGUGAGCGCGAGCCAGUGCUCCCCGAGGUACGUCUUGCGUUUCUUCGACAAUUCCGCCAGGUUGAAUGCUUCGGUAGCAGCAGCGCGUCUUGCGAUCCCGCUCAAGAGUUCGUCCAGCGUGAUCUGUGACGUUUCAAGGUACAGCGGCGACACAUGGUUGUACCCUUCCUCCCCGUUUCUCCGUUGAGUCGUUCGAUAAAUAACGUACUGCCAGUACAAAGCAACGAUAAUCGGCUGUUCUAGUGUCGAGGAGCAUAGAGAUACGAAACAGAGGCUUCAACGUCCGUUCGUACAAGAGUUUAAUCGGACGACGUACGGAGAAAACUGGACAGCAUACGUUCGUCACGACUACUCCAAGUGUUAUUGUUAUUUCACAUCCACCAACGUUCUAGUGCACGGCUGUUCAGUAUCAUUUCUUAUUCUAUCUUUCGUUUGCUUUUAGGUUACGUAUGAUGGUAACAAGGCUGCUUCGUACGUAUAUGAAGGAUCGAGCGAGUAUCACGUUUGCGUCUUGAUCAUAGAUGAUUGAUUUUCGAGUCUGGAUAUCCACGAGGUGGUGAACAGCUCAGACAGUAGGACCAGAACCAACGACCAGCACUUACCGCGGCCACGAUCAUUAAAAAGCAGCCGUGUCACUCGCGCGCACAACGAGUUCAACGAAACACGGGAAUGUUGAUCACGUUUCUUCUCUUCGAUGUGAAAUAGACGAACGAAGUCAAGUGUUUAGAUACGCAAGGGAGACAGAGAAGGAGCAAUAGAAUGAUAACAGGGACAGAGAGGUGAGAGGUGGUGAAAAGAGAGCGGCUCGAGAGACGAGAGAAAGAGAGAGGUUAUGUGCAGACGACGACAGGAGAAAUUCCAGCGGGCGGCAGCGCUGAGGUCCACGGAUAGUUCGUCCGUUCCUUCGUUCCCCUCGUCCGAUAAGUGAUGAUUCCACGACGAUGAUUCGAGAGGACCGAUUGGGUGGGACGCGUUUUAGCCUCGUUGGAUCUUCGACGUCCGUUUCAUCGUGUAUAUGCCACAGACCAAUGAUUACGAGUGUAUCUUAAGAACUUGGAGGAUUUCUUCGGACGAGGAACAACGAACGGGGUAAUUAAAUUUCGUUUAUUAUUUUAUGUCCCAAGGUAUAGCCUGCUUUAUCGCAUGUAUAUUCAUUCGAUCUCAUGCUUUGCGUCUUAAAGACGGCGUUUGAUUCGCAUCCACGCAAAGAAUCUUCUUUCGAUGAUAUCGUUUCGUGUCUGGACCGCUUCUUGCUCGCUGUUUGAAGGAUCGCUCGAUGUCUCGAACGAAUCCGUGAGUAUAUUGAGGAACGAAUUUAAGAUAUGGGUGUGAUGCACUGUUACGACUUCCUAAUUAAUCACACUAUAUAUCACUCUCUCUUUGACGAACUAGGAUAAAUGAAAAGAAUGUCGAAAAACGGAUAGGAAGACAGCGCGCACCGGUUAUAUCCCUGGAAACGAUUCGUGCGGAAAGCGAUACGCUGUUCUUUUUCUGCCACCUCCUCCUCCACCGCCUUCUCCUUUUCUACCGAUUCUUUUCAUUCGCGUACGCAUACGUUUUCCCACGCACCGAGGCAAAAAACCACACACUUACGGAGACUGACUGGAGGGAAAGAAUAGCGGGAAAAAGAUGGAGAGAAGAAAGGAACGAGGGAAGAGCGCGACGGUGAUCGGGAGUUGAUGCUAGGGCAUCGCAGAGAGCGGGCAAGGCAGAAAUGUCGGUGUUACUACCAGCUUGGAGUAGCAAGCACCGGUAAAACACGGUCCUAACUAACACACAUGGAGACAGAUUGGGGACUGCUGCUUCGGAGUUUACUAUAGGAUGGGACGGAUGGUGAUGGCGGCCGUAGCAGAGCAGCCACCGCCCCCAUGCUUCUUCUCUCUCUCUUCGUCUCCCUUGUCUUGUUCGACCGCCGCCCCCACCACCGUUUCUCACUGCUAUUUCCCUCCACUCUCUACUUCUCCCCGUAACCGUUCCAACCGUUCUCCUAUUCUCCCCUCUAUGCGUUAUGAUGGACACGCUGGAACUCCCCUCUUCAACAUCCAACUUACCCCCUUUCUCUCCCACUUCUCUUGCACGCUUCUCUCUACAUUUCCUCCUCUUCCUCUUACUCUUCACAUACAGGUCUCUGCUAUAGCUUUCCCUGGGCUACGAGAUGUUAUCCUCGAGCGAUUCGUGCGUACUAUACAUAUAUUCGUCUACCCGUGUCGUCGCCACAUCCCCUACCUGCGUCGCAUCUCGACGUGUGCGUUGGCCGCAAUCAAGGUCAGGAGCGUAACCGGUAAGCUAUGGCACCCCGCUCUAUCGAUUCUAUAUACCACGGUUUCAUCACGAUGACGACGUCGACGACGAUACAAAGGGGGUAGCCAGAGGGAACUUAUACUUAUGUAGUCGAGCAAUGUUGUUUUCACUAAUAUAGCGGUUUAUGGAUCGCAGUGGUGUUUCGUUAUCGUGGCGCAUUCGUUCACCGGAAACCUGGUAUCUUUUGGCUCAUUGGCUCACAGAUGUGAUUACCUCGUUAUUUAUCUGCUGAAAGGAAGGAUGCGUGUUGCGCCGAUAUUGUAUUUACUUUUAUAUAGCUUCCUCUUCACGUGUUUUAUGCGCAUCCUCCAAGAUACUUCGCUGAAAUACCAGUCGAAUGGGGGUGUGUAAAUCUACGAGAAUGUUGCUAUCAAGUAUAUUCACGUCCAAUAAAUUCCCGUAGCAAUUUCGUAAACGAAAACAGCUUUCGUGUAAGACGAAGGUGAUGAAACGAAAAGACGUUAGAAAAAUGAAUUAGUUUCUUCUUGAAUUUUUUGAAGUCGUUUGUCAAGUCAAUUUGUCAAUUGAAAAAUUCAAUAUCGUUUCGUGAUGUUUAUACAUAUCACGAGAUAUUUUGCAAUCACAACUCGAAUACCUCGGACUCUCCCGGAGGGGAAACGAGAUAACAUUCGGUAGCGCGUGCGGUUAUCUUCGUCGAUUCCCUUGACUUUUCACCGCCGUGAGGUAUGUAAAUACGUUUUAAAGUAGACAAGAAGCUCUUAUUCGCGAUGCAAUCUACGUAACAACGUCGCAUCGGUAUCAACGAAAUUUUCCAUUCUCUCCUCUUCCUAGCAAGAAUAGUUCAACAAUAAACAAUUCUAUCAUCACGAAAAUAUAUACAGUGGCUAAGAAAAGUAUUUGUAUAUAUAUACCCUUAUUUCAUGACGUAUCUUUUUAUCAGACCACGGUUUCCUUCGAAUAAACGUCAGAUAAACGUGCGCGCACCGCAAGAAAGAGAGAACGCAGGAAAGCGAAGUUAACCCGCAGGCUUGGUCGAGCUACAAGGUAGCUUAUCGUCGGCAACUACGAUAUUGAUGGCUAAUGUGUACGUACAGCCGCGACGAAAGCAGAGACGGCAAGCAGUGGCGGCAGUGUCCGAUACUAUUAUUAGUGUGCAGCUGCCUGCGAAUUACUGAAUGAAAGGGAAGGACCGCUUCGAAACAAUAUCCGAAAGAGACGGGAGGCACGCUGCAUCGUUUAAAGCGACAGCCAUCCGACGAUUAUUUAGAGUCAGAUUUACGCGUGUACAUCUAUGUAUGCGUGCGCCAUCGAACGAAAGCGUCGCGCGUAGUCGUCAUGAAUCGAUUGAUUUGUAAAUUAAUGUAUAUUCCUUCGUACUUGGAUUCAAUCAAACCUUGAAUAUUACAUGAAUCGAUCAACAUGAAAAUUUAAUACUGAACUUAUUAUCCAAUGGAGCAAGGUAAGAAUGACCGCAAUAUAUUAUUUUGAAAGUCAUCUAUCAUACGUUCGAGUAUACGUAUCAGGUUACGAGAGAAGUAUGGACAAUUAUUUAGCGUCACGUUGAUUGCUUGCUUUGAAUAUCAGCGAAAGACUGGACUGAAUUUUCUCUGAUGAGUAUAAACGUUGAUUCACAUACGAGUAGGGAAUUGUUCAUGAAACUAAUUUGUGAGAUAGUCAUACGUUUAUUUCAGUCCUGAGCCACAUAGAAGAACAAACAUAUUGUACAUAUGUACUUACGUGUCAUUACGUACUUCACAUUUGAGACGAUUGGAAAUGUAUCAGGAAAAUCUUCUGAAUAAACAGUUCCUUUUUUGAUUUUUA